GGUUUUUUUUUUGUUCUGGUUGUUGACUUGAUACAUAUUACAAAGGACAUGUUAUCUGGGCAGUACAAAGGGAAACUGUGAAGAGUGGCACUUUUAUUGAUAGAAUGUAUCAACUUGUAUGCAUGACUCCACAGACAAGCUUAAACUGGAGCGGGAUUUCAGCAGAUACAACUAUCUGAGUCUGGACUCUGCCAAAGUGAAUGGUGUGGACGACGCUGCCAAUUUCAGAACUGUCAGGAAUGCCAUGCAGAUCGUGGGCUUUUCGGAUCCUGAGGCCGAGUCUGUCCUGGAGGUUGUGGCAGCUGUCUUGAAACUGGGGAACAUCGAGUUCAAGCCUGAAUCACGAAUGAACGGUUUGGAUGAAAGCAAAAUCAAAGACAAAAAUGGUAA
rnacentral:lncRNA from 1 species